rnacentral:rRNA from 1 species
UGCCAGCCGCCGCGGUAAUACGGAGGGAGCGAGCGUUAAUCGGAAUUACUGGGCGUAAAGCGCACGUAGGCGGUUUGUUAAGUCGGAUGUGAAAUCCCCGGGCUCAACCUGGGAACUGCAUCCGAUACUGGCCGACUAGAGUACGAGAGAGGGAGGUAGAAUUCCACGUGUAGCGAUGAAAUCCGUAGAUAUUCGGAGGAACACCAGUGGCGAAGGCGGCUUUCUGGACCAAUACUGACGCUGAGAUGCGAAAGCGUGGGGAGCAAACAGGAUUAGAUA